AUGAACGCUGGCGGCGUGCCUAAUCCCUGCAAGUCGAGCGAACAGACGAGGAGCUUGCUCCUCUGACGUUAGCGGCGGACGGGUGAGUAACACGUGGAUAACCUACCUAUAAGACUGGGAUAACUUCGGGAAACCGGAGCUAAUACCGGAUAAUAUAUUGAACCGCAUGGUUCAAUAGUGAAAGACGGUUUUGCUGUCACUUAUAGAUGGAUCCGCGCCGCAUUAGCUAGUUGGUAAGGUAACGGCUUACCAAGGCAACGAUGCGUAGCCGACCUGAGAGGGUGAUCGGCCACACUGGAACUGAGACACGGUCCAGACUCCUACGGGAGGCAGCAGUAGGGAAUCUUCCGCAAUGGGCGAAAGCCUGACGGAGCAACGCCGCGUGAGUGAUGAAGGUCUUCGGAUCGUAAAACUCUGUUAUUAGGGAAGAACAAAUGUGUAAGUAACUAUGCACGUCUUGACGGUACCUAAUCAGAAAGCCACGGCUAACUACGUG
rnacentral:rRNA from 1 species